rnacentral:lncRNA from 1 species
GAAAUGUGGAAAAGCAUUCCAGGAUGCAACAGAGAGUGUGUGUGUGUGCGUACGUGCGUGUGUGUGACGGGAGUGAGAGAGAAUGAGCAAAAGUGUAGAGUCUGAAACAACAUGUGUGAGCGGGAAAAAGCGAUAACCUGAGCGGCCAGAAGCACAGUGGAUGUGUGCCGUUGGAGGGACAGUGGCAGAGUGGCAGCCAAGGGACCGGCCCUGAGACGUGGCUGUUUUGUUUCCUGGCGAAGAGGUGUUCUAGUGGCUCUUGGCUUGAGGUGUGAGGCCUGCCCUGAAGGAGCAGGAGUCCACCAGGAAGGGCCACUUUGAGAGUGAAGCUCACCUAGGUCAGCAGCAGAAGGAGCACGGGCCACAACCAAGGUCUGCAUAACGCAACGAUGCAUCAAGUCACGAGGAGGACUUGCUGGUGGGCCCGCUGGUCAUGGACAGCCUCGCUCACAGCUCACAGUUGGGGGCCUUGGUGAAGGAUCCUGUGAUGACUGGACUGCUGGGGCUCUUUCUCCACGUGGUCUCUCUCACCCUCACAGAUGGGCUUGUUCACACGGCAGCAGUGUUCAAGAGGGUGACAGUGGAAGCUUCAGGGCUUCUGGAAGCCAAGGCUUGGAAGGCAUAGGAUGUCACUCCUGCCACAUCUUAUUGGUCAAAGCAUGUCACAAAAUCAGCCCAUAUUCAAGGCAGUGGGGAAAUAGAUUCCACUUUUUGAUGGGAGUUGCGGUAAAGAAUUUGUGGCCGUAUUUAACUUGUCGUAGGGCGCUUCAAAUGGGGAGAACAGGUUCUGGAAGGGAAUAGAGAGAAGAAAAUGUAAACUGUGCAGCAGGAAUUUUGAGUUCAGCCUGAUCACAAUAGAGGAGGCCUGUUGGUGAGCAGCUCGAAAUGACACAAGGCAGGCAGCGUGAGAGGCCCAAAGGCUGUAAGCUUAGGACCAGGACUUUAAUGUGAGGGUUGGCAAAGCUGAGUGCACGUGCCCCAUCCACUGCCUCAAACGAUUCCUUUUAAUUCAUCUUCAUUAUUGUUUUCACUUUUUAAAGAAUUUUCACUUUGAGAUCUUAGAAGUCUGAAUUGUUAAAGUGUCAUCUCCACAGAUGGACUUUACCAAAGCCUUAUGGACUUUCAGAAGACAAGAGAGCACAGAGACCAUAUAGGACAGUGGCUAAGCAUCUAAGCUCCAGAGCCAGACAGACCUUCGUUCAAAUCCUGUCUUCGUCACCUGGAAGCCAUGUGACAUUUGAUUAGUCACUUAACCAUUUUGAGCCUCAGUUUCCUCCAGUAUCAUCUGGAGUUAAAUGGUACCUUCCUCACAGGAUGGCCGUGAGGAUUAGACACUGCACUUAUGGAUUUACCUUAGAGUCUUAAGCAUUAAAUCUAUAAGUGCUCAAUUAACGUCAGCUGUAAUUAUAGCCUUUGGAUUUUCAUUCUUCAUCUGUAAAAUGAGGUACUACUGUAGAAAUUCUAGGGUCUUAUUCUUAAAAUAGCUAAUAAAAUUGGGCAUCAAGAAAGUUGCAAAUAGAAAGGGCUGUGCCUAUUCCCAAGGAUACUAUUCUUUCUUGUGAUCUGCAUCCAAAGCCCUGUUUCAAAUCUAAUUGCUUCUCUUCCCUGAAAGAAAACAGACCUCAUGGCAAGCAUAUCUUUUUUUUUUUAAGAUUUUAUUUUUUUCCUUUUUCUCCCCAAAGCCCCCUAGUACAUAGUUGCAUAUUCUUAGUUGUGAGUCCUUCCAGUUGUGGCAUGUGGGAUGCCGCCUCAGCGUGGCCUGAUGAGCGGUACCAUGUCUGCGCCCAGGAUUCCAAAUGGCGAAACCCCAGGCCCCGGCAGCAGAGUGCACAAACUUAACCACUCGGCCACGGGGCUGGCCCUGGCAAACGUAUGUUACACAGAGGUGAUGCUCUGAAGAAUAAAUGCAUUUAUUCUCUAUUUGAAUGUAUUAUACAAGAUGAAUCAGACUGCUGGAGCCUGCUCACUUUUAACCACAUAUCUUUUCCUUGUUUAACAAAUGUUUUGAAUCUCCUACUGUGUUAUAGACCUUACGCUAGAUAUUGAAGAUAUAAUGACAAGUGAAAUCAACAUAGUUGGCCUCAGCAACUGCUUUUUAUAUGCUGCAUUAAAUAAAGCCUAAUUAAAAAGAACAUAUAUAUAUAUGUUUUUUUCCUCCAGGGAAUAUUGACAAAUAGAUUGCUUAAUUUUUUUGUCCUCAAUCCUGGGUGACUAUUCAAAAUAACGUAGCAAAAGUAAUUUAAUCUGUUUUGAAAAAACAAUUAUUUUGAUAGAAAACUCUAGAGCCAACCCUAAAUCAGAUGGUCCAUCUGUCUGGCAAGUGGAGUGGAAACCACAUUGGCUAAUAGUGUAGGGCUUCCCUGAGUCCCUCACCCAGGGCAAGAGAAAUUUUCCCAAGACUGGUUGGACCCCUCGUAGUUUUGGUGCCAUAAAAACAUCAGGUAAGAGAGACCUUUAACCACAGGUAUAGUCUACAGAGACAUUACUCUGUAGUAAUCUGAGUAGAAUUAAUGACUCCCAGACGGUGUUAUUUGGAACUGACUUAUCCUAGGUUUGUUUUCAUGUUUUUCAUAUCUCUACAAAAGACCCUAUUGACUCAAUAAAUAGAAAGCAUCAUAGUCACAUAUAAGGAGACCCAGUUUAGGUUUUAGGGGACUUCAAACUCAAGCCAAGUGUCAAUGAAACAUAAAACAUUUGGUAGAUUAUGGAACUAGGUUCAGCAGAAAAAUAUACCAUGUUCUGGCUUCAGUUCUGUGCCAGGAAAGUGGGUGAUACCCAAAUUAGGAUGCCUCUUGACCCCAAACUGGAGGUCACAACCAGAGAAAAGUGCUCCACAUCUUCCUGAUUAUUCCAUUCAGAGCAUCCAGAUAAGGCACAAGAAUGAUCCUGCCCUCCCCGCCAUAGCCCACUAUUGCUUAAUCUUCUACAGCCCUACUUGGAAGCUUACAUUCCCCACUCUUCAUCUCUUUCUCUCACUCCCGAUUCACCCCUGUAAUUCUCCCUUCCACCAUUUCGCAGGAGAUGGUUGAAUCGGUCUUUUUGCUUUAUCUCAUAUGCUUUAAUUAUAAUCCCCAAAGUAGGAAAUGGAAAAUAUUGGCACACAACUCACCAUCAGACCAAAAAAGCAGUGUUUCUUCAAAUGCAGUGAAUAGAGUAGCAUGUAAUCUAUUGUCAAUUAACUAUGAAUGUGCUCGUCCUAGCACUUUUAAAAAAGAAUCCUUCAAGAAAACUGAGAAAUACAUUUUUAAUGAAGCCACCUGUUCCUUCAGGCCUUGAGAACUUUAACAAGCAUCGGUCCAUGAAAAUAGUUACUGUAAGCAUGUAUAAUAAAUUAAAUAUGAAUUUUAAAUUAUUCAUUGAAUCUUCCUAAGGAUUGAGAUGCCACAGGGAAAAUGAAAAUGCAAUGUUAAUAAGCAAUCAGUAGUGAUUUUAGAAAGGAAGGGAAAAAAGAAGGGUCCCUCUAAAUUUUGCCUUUGCUGAAGAAAGAGCUAAAGGGAUAGCUUCAAAUUAGUAGUACCAAUUAACGUAAACUUGUAAUGCAAGGCUAUACUUCAUUUUAUGUAUUGGUGCAAUUUUAUUGGUUUAUAUUGUUACAUGUUUAAUCGUGGACUGGACCUGGGGGAGGAAAUAAUAAUACAAAUGAGAGAUGUUGUGUAUCAGUUGCUUUGAUUGGACUUUUUCAUAAAUUAUCCCCAGUUGUAAAGGAAGCAACUGAAGACAGAGAGAGUAAAUAACUUGGCCGUGGUUGUUGAGCUGGGAUUUGAACACUGGCUUAUGUGAGGCUAAAGCUUGUGUUUCCCCACCACGCUGUUCUAGCCAAACUUCAUUGUCUCCUGAAGGCGGACUAAUGAAGGGAAGUAGCGGAGGGCUCUGGAGUCAGAGUUCUUGGUUCAAAUACCAGCUCUUCCUCCUAUGAGCUCUGUGACCUUGGAUAGUUUCUGCCUAUAUAAAAUAGAGAUAAUAAUGUGAGGGUUCAGUGGGAUAUGUAUACAAAGCAAUGAACCCAAUGCCUGCUGUGCAGAAAGAGUUUGCUAUGUGGUAUAGUUAUUGUUGUUGCUAUUAUCAUUAUUGUUACUGAAAGUUAAAAAAAAAAGGAGAAGGAAAUGAUGGAGCUGCCUUAGAUGGCAAAUAGCUCUGAAGCAGUGUCAUAGGUUCUUACUGGAUCUGGGAGAACAGCAGAUUACUCACUCUUUUGAGUUGUCAAGCCUGGGUGAUCCCAGCCUGUUUCACUCAUGGCCUGCUGACCAAAGUCCCUAAUGCAUCCGACUAAAUGAUAACCCCCAUCCUGCACCUUCUGGUGACAAUGCAGGAGAUCUCUCAGCUUUCUUUGGGUAGUGUCACAGUAGGUUCACAGUCAAUACAUUUUUUUUCCUUGAGCUAAACUCAGUAGGGAAAUCUCUGAUAGCUUUCUUCUUCUUCUUCUUUUUUUUUUUUUGCUGAGGAAGAUUAGCCCUGAGUUAACAUCUGUGCCAAUCUUCCUCCACUUUACAUGUGGGUCACCACCACAGCAUGGCUUACAAGUGGUGUAGGUCCAUGUCUGGGAUCCAAACCCAUGAACCUGGGCCACCAAAGUGGAGUAUGCCAAACUUAACCACUAUGCCACUGGGCUGGCCCCAUGGUUUCUUCUUUUUGAAACAUCUCUUUCACACUUUAGAUUCUAGGACCUUUUCUCUUCCAAGAAAGCCAGGUUUGAUGUUCCUAGCUACAACUGAAGAACAACAGCUUUACCCUUCUCUGGCUUUUGAAAUUCCUUUCUGAUGGGAGGAUAGUGUGAUGGGUUGAAUUGCGUCCCUCUAAAAUUCCUAUGUUAAAGUCCUAACCCUCAGUACCUCAGAAAGUGACUGUAUUUGAGGACGGAGCCUUUAAAGAGAUAAUUAAGGUAAAAUGAGGUGGUAUGAGUGAACCCUAAUGCAAUAUGACUGAUGUCCUUAUAAGAAGAGGAGAUUAGGACAGAGGGACAAACAUGUGAGGACAUAGCAAGAAGAAGAGAGGUCUCAGAAGCAAACAAAUCUACUGACACCUUGGUCUUGGACUUCCAGCCUCCAGAACUGUGAGAAAACUAAUUUCUGUUGUUUAAGCACCCAGUCUGUGGAGUUUUGUAAUGGCAGCCCUAGCAGACUCCUACAUGUAGAAUGGUCCUCAGAUGGUCUUGAAACAGGAGAUACUGUGCUCAAGGUGCUCUCUGGAGAAGCCUGAGUCAGAGAAAGAGCCCUCAUUACUAAACCACUUAGGGUCUCAUGUUUGUAAGGGUCAGUAGAGGGACAAGAGCACUGGCAACUUUGAAGUCACCCUCUCUAGAGAGUCUUCCGUCUUAAAUAUCUUUCUCCAGAGGUCUGAAAUGAUGUCAUCAGCAGUUCAUAUGGAGGUCUUGAAGCCUUUUUUUAGUGUUCAACAUCUCAUGGUAAAAUAAGAAUAUACCAGAUGACUGGGAUGCCGUUGAUAGACUGUGGAUGCCGGACGUGGGUUUUGGGAAGGAUUCCAGCAAAGGAGCAGUGAAGGAGAGGAUGGAAAGGCAGAGAUCAUCAGGUCCUUCCCUCUCAGCUCUGCCCAGGGCCAGCCUCGAAACGCCUUGCACCGGGCUUACAGGAAGAAGGGUGGAGUUUUGCUUCUUCUUUGGUGGUGCCUCCUUCCCAAACGUGAGGCUCUCCAUGGGCACAGGGCUGUGGUGAUUGCUUCAUGGUGCAAUGGUUGAGACAGCUGUCCUUCAAGACCCUUCUUUUGGCCUUUUAGUUGCUGCAACAUUUUGAUCAGAAAUUUCUGCUUUAAGUGUAAAGGAUGUGGUGCAAUUGGGGAAGGAAGUGUGGAGAACAAUCAAAACAAAACACCCCGGCCAUAGUUCAGUAAAAUAGAACACAUUCCUGCCCCCUGCCCUCCACCAGAGUGUUUAACUUUUCCUCUUUUUUUCUUAGCUCUGACGCUAGUGUGGUGUAGAUUAUAACUCUGGUAUUUUUGUUUGUCAUCAUUUUCCUUGAACAUGAAUACAAAGAAGACUUCAACAGCAGUAGAGUAAACUGAGUAGCCUGUAGCAAUGCUUUUGUAUUUGAAGUCAGAUUAAAUUUGUCCUCCAAAAAGGUUUCUGCUCCUUCUCCCUCUCCCUCUGCUUCCUUCCCUGGACUCCUGCCCCCAGCACUGCAGCCUGUCCCCACACCUCCAGGAUGUUAGCAGUUUUUAGGGAACAAGAUUUGCUCCCUUCUUUUCAUGAGAUUGUUGAAGACUGAAAAAAACCCUUAAGACUCCUCAAAAUGAAUUUCUGACCAGUGGGGCAGAUUUUAUGAGGCAGGAGACCCUCCCACAGUUUCCAGUAGGUCAGUCUCUAUAAUGAAUGAGAGUUCUGCAUGUGAAUGAAGUAGAGGAUGCUGAGGGAAGAAUCAGGAUGAUUCCAUAUGGACAAAUGGAAAUAGAGAUAGACUCCUGGAAAAAUAAGAAAUAGGCAUCACACUUUAUUCUGGGUCAAAUAGAAUAUUACAUAUUCUAGGAAAGAAAUGAUCUAGCUAAUUAUUUUUAAACCAUUUCACUUACAAAGUUCCAUUUUAUCUGAGUGAUAGUCAUUUCUUUUUUUCUCUUUCUAAGUGUGGAAGCGGAAUGUAUAUCAAUGUAUGGCCCCUAGCAGGAGAGUGGUCACAUGGGAGGGUGUGAAAAAUGCCUAUUCUGGCUGCAGUGUGUGUGCUCGUGGGUGGGAGAGAAAUAACCAUUAACGAUGUGGAGGAAAACAAAUACCUUGACUAAAUUUCGUGUCAUUCUUUGUGAUGUUGCAAUUCUCUUUAAAUAAAUAACUAGAACACUUCCCAAAAGAAACUGAAUGUACGUUGUGAAGGAUAAUUAAGACUGUAGAUCAAACGCAAAAACGACACUUUGGAAGAAAAUAUUUUUAGAAUUUGCACCACGCUCCUUUCAAUCUCUGGCCCAAAUGACAAAGAUGAUUUUGUAAAUGCGUUCAUGUGGGCCUAACAACUUGUUGGAAAGCCUGCCUGAGUUGGAUGGAUAUAAUAACAGAACUGCAAAUUAUACCCUUACACAAGAAUACAAAGCAGCCACACCUGUGGCUUCAUGGAGUAUUUGCUUCGUUCGGGAAAGGGGGAGGAAGCUUGAGUCUGGUUUACAGAUGUCUCUGCUGACACCAGUUGGACAUGGACCACUGAGGUCCCAGCAGAGCCAUAUUCCCUGUGGUUGGAGGAUAAGGGAGAUCCUCCCAGUGGACAGCACUUUGAACAGUCCACCUUGUGGUCCAUUUUGCCUGGAAGGAGAGAAGACCUGAGGACUGACAGCAAGGAGGUUUGGGAAGAGUCAGGUGGGUGAUACUCUUGAACUAGGCUUCAGAAUGUGUCCCUCAUGAGUGCUGCCCAAGGAGCAUCUACUCCAGAGGCGAGUCUCUGUAAAACAGUGGAUAUGGUGAGCUGCUCUGUGGAUGUCCCUCAGCCUUCUCCCCAGCUACGCCAGUGCUUGCCUGAUGUUUUGUGAACAAAGUAGGAUUCAGGGCUGGAGGCUGUACAUGCAUUCAACAACAAAAUGUCUUCUUACAAAGACUGGCUUGGUCAUUGGCCCCUUUGAGUGCCAAGUUUUCUAAGCAAUGCCCAAUCCUGAACAUUUCAUAUGGUACCACACCUCAAGUGAGGUGUGGACGGAUUAGCCACCUGUUUGGACCCCUUCUGACCCAGCAGCACCAACUGUGGAAUACUGAACUACCAGGACCUGGGUCACUUUUUGGAAACAAUAGCAGGGCUCAGCGAAUGGGGCAGCUUGGCUUUCUAGAAGGAGUUAUUUGUUGUCCCGACUGAUUCUGCUCCAGAGAACCAUCCACAAAGCACUUGAGACUGUGAAGAAUCCACGAUAGGUUCCUCCACCAUUCUCUAGGUCUUUUGAACUACGUGAACUGGUGAUAACCUUUGACCGGUAGGACUAAGAGAUGAGUGUUCACCAUCAUCUCCUAUGGGUUUCUAUUCAUUCUCAUCCGGGUCUACCUAUGUGGGAACGACCAUGUCUUGCUAUAGAGCAUUGAGUGGUGAAUUGUAAAGGUGUUUUAGGCUAUACAUAUGCUCUUCCUCAAAGAAGAGGCUUGGAGGGCAGAGAAUCCAGUUGGUUCUAUGGAAGACUUUGCUUAUCUUUAAUACGCCCUACACAAUGCUGGUUCUUUUGCAUAAUAUUAACUUGUUAAUCCGGGGAAUGAUUACAUAGUCUGUGCCUUAAAAUUUUUUUUAUUUAUUAAAUUUUUAUUAAAAUAGGUAUGUCAUAAAGUUUACCAUUUUAACAAUUUUUAAGUGUACAGUUCUGUGGCAGUAAGUCUGUGGCUUUUUGCCUCUAAACUUGAAUCCACCUCUGUUUUCUAUGGAUACUCCAUUCUCUCCAAUGCCAUGACCAUAUUUCCUGACUGCCAAGAGGCUAUUAACUGUAAAACAAACCACUAUAUUAGUAGCAAUAUUUUAUUAAAAAGGAUAUUUCUGGCAUUUCCUUGGAUGUCAGUUAUAAACCAUAUUAAUAUUUCAGAAAUAUCAGGUAGAAAAUGUGCAUCAGAGAAUUGAGGGAACAUUUAGCUUCUCUGUGUCCUGUGGCAGUGGCAGGAAUUAACAAAAACUAGUUCUGAAGGGAGAGUCACUUUCUGUAUGAUGUCCAUGACGAUCAAGCUGGAAACCUAUAGCUUAUUGGGCAGUCCCAGGAGCACCAUGACACUGCCUGGACAGGAGACCUCUGAAAUAAAAUGUAUGUUUAGGAUUGUAGAGAAUAACAGGGUGUCAUGAGAACCUCAGAAAAUAAUUUUAUUAAAGACUAAAUCACCACCACCAAGGAAAAGGUUUUAAUAUUUACUGAGCAUCUGCUAUCUGCUGAGAAAUUUACAUACAUUUCUCAUUUUUACCUCAGUGCAAUCUUGGGAGGUAGAUACAGAGGAAAGUAGGUAGAUUUUCAGAGGCAGAUAAGCAGACUCAGAGUGUUUAAGUAAUUGCCAAGAUCGGAUGCCUGGCAAGUAGUGAAGCUGGGGUUUGACACUUGGUCUGUGGACUCCACUGCCUGUGUCCUUCUCCAUCACACCAGUUACCUACUGUGCUUCGGCCACGCCACACCAUGAUGGAAACAACUGAACUCCCUAGUCUCCUUCUAGCCUUGAAGUUUCAGUAUGCUCUCCUUCUUCAUGACACCCUCCUGGUCCCCAUUGCCUAUGGAAUCUUGUGUUGGCUGAUCACAUACUACUUUGUGAUGCGUUUCUAUUUUUUAAUCCAUAUUUAAAACUUUGUUAUUUAGUAUUUUAAAUAUUUAUGUCCUUUCUCUUUAGUAGAUGCUAAGUCCCGAGAGGGAACUGACUUUGAUUGUUGUAUCUCCCACAGCAUUUUACAAAUUGUUGAUGCUCAAUUACUAUCUAUUGACUCGAUUUUAAUGAGUGUUAUGGAGAUGUUUUCUGCUAUAGUUGAUCUGAAAUAAAAGUCAUAGUCAAGAUCAUUUGAAGGCUUUCAGGUAUGGUUCAUGGGACAAUUCUUAUGCCCACAAUGUUGGAGAUUCGGGGAGAGGGAUGAGGGAAUUAAUGGGAUUUUAAAAUUUGAGAAUAGUUUUUUCAUUAAGAAUUUCUCUAAAAUAUUUUCACUUCUUUGAAUCUUUACUGUAAAAGUCCCCUUAGAUUUCUGCUCUUUAUAUUUUGUUCUCAAUCAGAUUACAGCCCACCUCCAUCAAGGAAACGUCGCUUACCAUACAGACGACCUUACUGUUUAUACGUCAGAGUCUUAACGUUUUUAACAUUUCAGAAGACUAAUACCGACCAAUUUCCAUGCGGAAAUAUCCAGCAAGAUCAAACGGGGGUAGGAAAACAAAAGCUAAUUUCAUUCAGAAGAUUCUGUCUUCUCUCAGCCUUGGUGGUUAUUUCCUGCUUGAGUCACUUCCCCUGAGAGGGUGACACUGGACAGCAGCCUCGAAAGCCGCCUGCCAGUUUGUGGUGCUUUGUAACAGCAGUCAUAGGAAACUAAGACAGCUUCCGAAGUUUUCAUUCAGAUCACUCCUAACACCUCGUCAUCUACGGUUCUGGCGUCUGCUGCAUACUGUGUCCAUUCCUGUGCUGCCCGCAGACUAUGAAACCCUCAAUCACCAUGGUGAAUUUCCACUUGGAAGAUCUGUUGUCCUGUCUUCACUGUGAUGUCUUGGCAUCACUCGAGGUACUGUCAUCAUAGGAAAACACCUGGAUUUGGAUUCAAAGACAAAGCUGUUUAUAAAACCAGUUGUGCAAUUACUUCUGUUGCCUUGUCCCUAUCUAUAACAGCUGUUCUGGAAAGUACUGCAUUUGCUUCCCACAUUUAAUUAGUCACUAAUGACCAACACGGGCUAUAAAUGAGUUCUUUGCCCAUUGUUGAUGAUUCAGGUCAAGCACGGCAGAUGGUCCCUUAUGCUGAAUUCUCCAACAAGCAUUUAUUACGAGAAGAUGGUCGAAUCAAGUUCAAUAGAACAGCCAAGAGCAAACAGUUUGCAGAUGGCCAGGUUCCUAGCAUGGGGAUAUGGUUCCUAGCCUUCCUUUUGAAGCAGACUUUCCUUUCUGCUUCCUUCUUACUCCUUCCUUCUUUUCUUUUCUUUCUUUCUUUCUUUCUUUUUUUUUUUUUUUUGCUCUUUUUAUUUCCUAUGUUCCUACCCAAGGGGAGUAUGCCAAAAAAAAAAAAAGAAAGAAACUAUGAUUUCUUUCACCUUCCCAGGUGAAAUUGACAAUAAAUUUAGGGAGAUAAAACCUGA